rnacentral:rRNA from 1 species
GACGGACGCUGGCGGCGUGCUUAACACAUGCAAGUCGAACGGUGAAGCCCUUCGGGGUGGAUCAGUGGCGAACGGGUGAGUAACACGUGAGCAACCUGCCCCUGGCUCUGGGACAACCACUGGAAACGGUGGCUAAUACCGGAUACGACCCGCUCAGGCAUCUGAUGUGGGUGGAAAGUUUUUCGGCUGGGGAUGGGCUCGCGGCCUAUCAGCUUGUUGGUGGGGUGAUGGCCUACCAAGGCGACGACGGGUAGCCGGCCUGGGUGGGCGACCGGCCACACUGGGACCGAGACACGGCCCAGACUCCUACGGGAGGCAGCAGUGGGGAAUAUUGCACAAUGGGCGAAAGCCUGAUGCAGCGACGCCGCGUGAGGGAUGACGGCCUUCGGGUUGUAAACCUCUUUCAGCUCCGAAGAAGCGCAAGUGACGGUAGGAGCAGAAGAAGCACCGGCUAACUACGUGCCAGCCGCCGCCGUAAUAC